UGCCAUUGUGGUGCAUCAGUGAUUUACCCUC
rnacentral:piRNA from 1 species